AUAACUGGCAAACAAAACAACAACUUCGCUUUCGCUGCCUAAUAACAGACGAUAGCGGUGCCUCCCUCCAUCGUCCAUGUGGUAGGGUAAGGGACUCACUUUAAGUGGACUACGCCGAAUUCCACCGUCUGAGGAUGAAGGAAGAGAAUAACCAGACUAGCUGCUUCCAUGCCUGUCAGUAGGCUAAAGAAGCAAGUGAAAAAUAAUUAUACUGACUACACUCGUAGAGGUAUAAGUGGCAAUAUCUUUGCACGCGGGUUCAACUCCCGUCAUUUCCACUU
rnacentral:tmRNA from 1 species